rnacentral:rRNA from 1 species
CAGUAGCCGCGGGAAUACGUAGGGUGCGAGCGUUAAUCGGAAUUACUGGGCGUAAGCGUGCGCAGGCGGUUAUAUAAGACAGAUGUGAAAUCCCCGGGCUCAACCUGGGACCUGCAUUUGUGACUGUACAGCUAGAGUACGGUAGAGGGGGAUGGAAUUCCGCGUGUAGCAGUGAAAUGCGCAGAUAUGCGGAGGAACACCGAUGGCGAAGGCAAUCCCCUGGAUCUGUACUGACGCUCAUGCACGAAAGCGUGGGGAGCAAACAGGAUUAGAUACCCCUGUAGUCCCUGUCUCUUAUACA